rnacentral:rRNA from 1 species
UUGAACGCUGGCGGCAUGCCUUACCCCUGCCAGUCGCACGGUAACAGGUCUUCGGAUGCUGACGAGUGGCGAACGGGUGAGUAAUACAUCGGAACGUGCCCGAUCGUGGGGGAUAACGAGGCGAAAGCUUUGCUAAUACCGCAUACGAUCUACGGAUGAAAGCGGGGGAUCUUCGGACCUCGCGCGGACGGAGCGGCCGAUGGCAGAUUAGGUAGUUGGUGGGAUAAAAGCUUACCAAGCCGACGAUCUGUAGCUGGUCUGAGAGGAUGAUCAGCCACACUGGGACUGAGACACGGCCCAGACUCCUACGGGAGGCAGCAGUGGGGAAUUUUGGACAAUGGGCGAAAGCCUGAUCCAGCCAUGCCGCGUGCAGGAUGAAGGCCUUCGGGUUGUAAACUGCUUUUGUACGGAACGAAAAGCCUCUUUCUAAUAAAGAGGGGUCAUGACGGUACCGUAAGAAUAAGCACCGGCUAACUACGUG